CCUACGGGGGGCUGCAGUGGGGAAUAUUGCACAAUGGGCGCAAGCCUGAUGCAGCCAUGCCGCGUGUGUGAAGAAGGCCUUCGGGUUGUAAAGCACUUUCAGCGGGGAGGAAGGCGUUAAGGUUAAUAACCUUGUCGAUUGACGUUACCCGCAGAAGAAGCACCGGCUAACUCCGUGCCAGCAGCCGCGGUGAUACGGAGGGUGCAAGCGUUAAUCGGAAUUACUGGCGUAAAGCGCACGCAGGCGGUCUGUCAAGUCGGAUGUGAAAUCCCCGGGCUCAACCUGGGAACGGCAUUCGAAACUGGCAGGCUAGAGUCGUGUAGAGGGGGGUAGAAUUCCAGGUGGAGCGGUGAAAUGCGUAGAGAUCUGGAGGAAUACCGGUGGCGAAGGCGGCCCCCUGGACAAAGACUGACGCUCAGGUGCGAAAGCGUGGGGAGCAAACAGGAUUAGAUACCCUUGUAGUC
rnacentral:rRNA from 1 species